rnacentral:rRNA from 1 species
UACGGGGAGGACUAGCGUUGUUCGGAAUUACUGGGCGUAAAGCGCACGUAGGCGGCUUUUUAAGUCAGGGGUGAAAUCCCGGGGCUCAACCCCGGAACUGCCCUUGAAACUGGAGAGCUAGAAUCUUGGAGAGGCGAGUGGAAUUCCGAGUGUAGAGGUGAAAUUCGUAGAUAUUCGGAAGAAACACCAGUGGCGAAGGCGACUCGCUGGACAAGUAUUGACGACUGAGGUG